UCAGCAGGUAGUGAUUGCCGCUAGCAAUAACGAAAUCACAAGUUCACGCCCUGCCUCCCCACUAGGUUCACACAGUUUCAAUUAAGAAACGAAAUAUUCCGCGAAUGGAUUACCGGCCAUAGUCCACGGCUUGGACGUGGCUUGAUGUAA
ensembl:ncRNA F02E8.10 ncRNA